GUGUCAGCAGCCGCGGUAAUACGAAGGGGGCUAGCGUUACUCGGAUUGACUGGGCGUAAAGGGCGCGUAGGCGGAUAGUACAGUCAGACGUGAAAUUCCUGGGCUCAACCUGGGGGCUGCGUUUGAUACGUGCUGUCUGGAGUUCGGAAGAGGGUCGUGGAAUUCCCAGUGUAGAGGUGAAAUUCGUAGAUAUUGGGAAGAACACCGGUGGCGAAGGCGGCGACCUGGUCCGAUACUGACGCUGAGGCGCGAAAGCGUGGGGAGCAAACAGGAUUAGAAACCCUCGUAGUCC
rnacentral:rRNA from 1 species